rnacentral:rRNA from 1 species
UACGGGGGGAGCAAGCGUUGUUCGGAUUUACUGGGCGUAAAGGGCGCGUAGGCGGCGCAACAAGUCACUUGUGAAAUCUCCGGGCUUAACCCGGAGCGGCCAAGUGAUACUGUCGUGCUAGAGUGCGGAAGGGGCUACUGGAAUUCUCGGUGGAGCGGUGAAAUGCGUAGAGAUCGGAAAGAACACCAACGGCGAAAGCACUCUGCUGGGCCGACACUGACACUGAGAGACGAAAGCUAGGGGAGCAAAUGGG